UGAGAGUCCUGCCUUCAUUCUAUCCUCUGC
rnacentral:piRNA from 1 species